CGUGAGUGAUGAAGGCUUUCGGGUCGUAAAGCUCUGUCAAGUGGGAAGAAAAUAAUGAGUGCCAAUACCACUCAUUACUGACGGUACCACUGAAGGAAGCACCGGCUAACUCCGUGCCAGCAGCCGCGGUAAUACGGGGGGUGCAAGCGUUAUUCGGAUUCAUUGGGCGUAAAGGGCGCGUAGGCGGUUUUGUAAGUCAGAUGUGAAAGUCCGGGGCUCAACCCCGGAAGUGCAUUUGAAACUACAAGACUUGAGUAUGGGAGAGGGAAGUGGAAUUCCUGGUGUAGAGGUGAAAUUCGUAGAUAUCAGGAGGAACACCGGUGGCGAAGGCGACUUCCUGGACCAAUACUGACGCUGAGGCGCGAAGGCGUGGGUAGCAAACAGGAUUAGAUACCCUGGUAGUCCACGCAGUAAACGGUGAUCACUAGGUGUAGCGGGUAUUGACCCCUGCUGUGCCGCAGUUAACGCAUUAA
rnacentral:rRNA from 1 species